GACGAACGCUGGCGGCGUGCUUAACACAUGCAAGUCGAACGGAAAGGCCCUGCUUGCCGGCUACUCGAGUGGCGAACGGGGGAGUAACACGUUGGUGAUCGGCCCUGCACUUCGGGAUAGGCCUGGGUAACUGAUGCUAACACCGGAGAGGAGCCAUUUCUACGGUGAUUGGUGGAACGUUGUUUUGGUGUGGGGUGAGCGCGCGGCCUUUCAGCUUGUUGGUGGGGUAAGGGCCUACCAAGGCGGCGACGGGUAGCCGGCGCGGGAGGGUGGACGGGCACAUUGAGACUGAGACACGGCCACGACUCCGACGGGAGGGAGAAGUGGGGAAUAGUGAACAAUGGGCGCAAGCCUGAUGCAGCGAUGCCGCGUGGGGGAUGACGGCCUUCGGGUUGUAGACUCAUUUCGCUAGGAACGAAGCAUUUAGUGACGGUACCUAGAGAAGAAGCACCGGCUAACUACGUG
rnacentral:rRNA from 1 species